rnacentral:rRNA from 1 species
GAUGAACGCUGGCGGCGUGCCUAAUACAUGCAAGUCGAGCGAACGGACGAGAAGCUUGCUUCUCUGAUGUUAGCGGCGGACGGGUGAGUAACACGUGGAUAACCUACCUAUAAGACUGGGAUAACUUCGGGAAACCGGAGCUAAUACCGGAUGAUAUUUUGAACCGCAUGGUUCAAAAGUGAAAGACGGUCUUGCUGUCACUUAUAGAUGGAUCCGCGCUGCAUUAGCUAGUUGGUAAGGUAACGGCUUACCAAGGCAACGAUGCAUAGCCGACCUGAGAGGGUGAUCGGCCACACUGGAACUGAGACACGGUCCAGACUCCUACGGGAGGCAGCAGUAGGGAAUCUUGCGCAAUGGGCGAAAGCCUGACGGAGCAACGCCGCGUGAGUGAUGAAGGUCUUCGGAUCGUAAAACUCUGUUAUUAGGGAAGAACAUAUGUGUAAGUAACUGUGCACAUCUUGACGGUACCUAAUCAAAAAGCCACGGCUAACUACGUG